UACGUAGGGUGCAGGCGUUAAUCGGAAUUACUGGGCGUAAAGCGAGUGUAGGCGGUUUGCCAAGUCCGUUGUGAAAUCUCCCGGCUCAACUGGGAGGGUGCGCCGGAAACUGGCAGGCUAGGGUGCGGUAUGGGAGAGUGGAAUUCCUGGUGUAGCGGUGAAAUGCGUAGAUAUCAGGAGGAACACCGGUGGUGAAGACGGCUCUCUGGACCGUUACCGACGC
rnacentral:rRNA from 1 species